AAGGGCACCACAAGAACGCGUGGAGCAUGUGGCUUAAUUUGACCCAACGCGGGAAAUCCUACCAGGUCCAGACAUAUUGAGGAUUGACAGGUGAUCACUAAUAUAAUUUUAUAUUAUAUUAGUACAAAUAUGAUAGUCCUUUCAUGAUUAUAUGAUAGGUGGUGCAUGGCCGUUCUUAGUUCGUGGAGUGAUCUGUCUGCUUAAUUGCGUUUCAUAUAAUAUUAAAUAAUAUUAUUCAUUAUAUUAUUUUUAGUGUUCUGCCUUUUUAAGGAUUGUGGACCUUUUAUAAUAUAUGAUAAUAUUAUAUUUAAAUGAAUGCAACGAACGUGACCG
rnacentral:rRNA from 1 species